rnacentral:rRNA from 1 species
ACGGAUGACGCUGGCGGCGUGCCUAUUACAUGCAGUCGAGCGAAUGGAUUAAGAGCUUGCUCUUAUGAAGUUAGCGGCGGACGGGUGAGUAACACGUGGGUAACCUGCCCAUAAGACUGGGAUAACUCCGGGAAACCGGGGCUAAUACCGGAUAACAUUUUGAACCGCAUGGUUCGAAAUUGAAAGGCGGCUUCGGCUGUCACUUAUGGAUGGACCCGCGUCGCAUUAGCUAGUUGGUGAGGUAACGGCUCACCAAGGCAACGAUGCGUAGCCGACCUGAGAGGGUGAUCGGCCACACUGGGACUGAGACACGGCCCAGACUCCUACGGGAGGCAGCAGUAGGGAAUCUUCCGCAAUGGACGAAAGUCUGACGGAGCAACGCCGCGUGAGUGAUGAAGGCUUUCGGGUCGUAAAACUCUGUUGUUAGGGAAGAACAAGUGCUAGUUGAAUAAGCUGGCACCUUGACGGUACCUAACCAGAAAGCCACGGCUAACUACGUGCCAGCAGCCGCGGUAAUACCUAGGUGGCAAGCGUUACCCGAAUUUUUGGGGGUAAAGCGCGCGCAGGUGGUUUCCUAAAUCUUAUGUGAAAGCCCCG